AAAAAAAAUAUGUCUAUUAAGGAUAACUUUUUGGGACAACUUUUUCCAACCAAAUUGAGUUUGGUAAUUUUUGUCGCUUACAUUUGUCUAUUUGUCAAUCAAGGCAUUCUGGUCAAAGCAAGUCAAAAUAAUGGAACAAAUAAUAAAUAUGAUUAUAAUAUCGUUACGGUUGUGAUUGGAACUGAAUUAAUCAAACUAGUUACAUCUCUAGUCUUGUAUUUUAAGGAUAAGCCAUCGAUAUGGCAAUUGUUCGAUGAAAUUAGAUCUGGUUUCCGUAUUGGUCUAUUAUACCUAAUACCAGCAUUUUUAUAUUGUCUGUACAAUAAUUUAGCCUUUAUCAAUUUGGCCAAUUAUGAUCCGACUACUUAUUUCAUAUUGCUACAAUUUCGAACUGUGAUAACUGGUUCUCUUUUUCAAAUUCUAUUCAAUAAGAAAUUAACUUCAUUGCAAUGGUUUUCUUUAUGUUUAUUGACGAUUGCCUGUAUGAUCAAAGAACUUGGACAUAGCAUAGAAUCUUCAUCAUCCGAUUCAUUCAACAUAUUAUCUGCAUUAAUGUCAAAAAAUCUUUUUCUCAUAAUGCUACAGCUUUUUUGUUCAUCUUUUGCCGGCGUAUACAAUGAAUUUCUCCUUAAAAAUGAUGGAAAUGCCGUACAUAUUAUUGUGCAAAAUAUUUUCAUGUAUUUGGAUUCAAUUCUAUGCAAUCUAGCAUUAUUGUUGAUAACAUCUAAUCCUUUGGCAAACAAUGGAGUUAUUUUUGAUUUAUCUGUAUUAUCCAAUUUGUAUGUAUGGUUCAUAAUGUUUAAUGGAGCAAUUGCUGGUAUAGUCACUUCAUUUUUUCUAAAAAAUCUCAAUUCCAUUCUCAAAACAUUUGCUUCUACAUUGGAGAUUCUAUUAUCGGCCAUUUUGUGUUCAUUAUUGUUCUCUACAAUCAUCAAUAUACAUACGAUAAUAUCAAUAUCGUUAGUUUUUCUGGCCAUUUAUAUUUAUGCAAUGAAACCUGUACAAAAUUUUCCGAUUAAUUCAUCAUUAUCAAAUCGAACAGACCAUAUGAACAUUUCGGAUGAUGUAAAACUUUUGAUUAAAGACUAAUCUGAUUAGAAUGAUUUAUUAUAAUUUCAGCAUUAUUGUAAUAUCAUUAUCAACAUUUAAUUAGUGUAGUCCAUUUCCACUCGAAUAGCUCCACAAAUGUGUAUUAAGCGUUGGUCUGCACGCAUUCAUGAUUUAAGAAUCC